GCCAGACUCCUACGGGAGGCAGCAGUGGGGGAUAUUGCACAAUGGGGGGAACCCUGAUGCAGCGACGCCGCGUGGGUGAAGGAGCGUUUCGGCGCGUAAAGCCCUAUCGCCAGGGAAGAAGGAGGACGGUACCUGACCAAGAAGCCCCGGCUAACUACGUGCCAGCAGCCGCGGUAAUACGUAGGGGGCAAGCGUUAUCCGGAUUUACUGGGUGUAAAGGGAGCGUAGACGGCAAGGCAAGUCUGGAGUGAAAGCCCGUGGCUCAACCACGGGACUGCUUUGGAAACUGUGUUGCUGGAGUGCAGGAGGGGUAAGCGGAAUUCCUAGUGUAGCGGUGAAAUGCGUAGAUAUUAGGAGGAACACCAGUGGCGAAGGCGGCUUACUGGACUGUAACUGACGUUGAGGCUCGAAAGCGUGGGGAGCAAACAGGAUUAGAUACCCGGGUA
rnacentral:rRNA from 1 species